GAAAAUAGGCGGGACCGCGACGCGGGAUGAGAAGGAGUGGAGCAGUCGGGGCGCUCACGUCAGGCAGAGGAGCCUCUCCUAUAGCCACCACCACCACCUGUUCAUGGGGGUUUCUGCCAGGCCACGGCUGAUGAUCACAUAAAGCUCAAGCAUUCUUCUGUCAGCUUGCGGUGAAUGCUGCCAGGCCUAGAACUCACCCUUCAGGGCAGUGGGCUCCCCUCUGGCCCAGGGCAGAUCCAGAAAUGCUGUCAAGAGCCUAAGCCUGGACUCGAG
rnacentral:lncRNA from 1 species